CAAUUGGUCAGUUAAGUCCAACUAUGUCGAGCACAGUGGGCCUCAACCACAGGCACAGGGCCACGUGCCUGUCCCCUGAAAUGAGAGUGAACUCUUGGUGGCAACCAAGGAGCCAUGGCCUUGUCAGCACCCUUGUCCAGGCUUGACGAGCUACAGGCGAGAUCUCAGGUUGCUGGGACAUCUUGUUGGCUCUUCAGACCCUGAGAUGGGCUCUCACACUUUCUCAGGUUUAUUUCUUAUCAGAUUCAAGAUGCACACCCACGAGGGAAUGGACCUUCCCAGUUAUCCAUAACACAGCCUCAGUGGUGCUGGAGUCCCGUGUAAUUAACAAACCCUUGGAGACGUUUGUUUGCACGUGUGCAUCAAGAUAACCUGAAUUUUAGACACCAAACUUAGGAAACCUAACUUCAACAAAAAUGAGGAAUUAAUAAUGUGGGUAUCUUGGAGAAGCACAGCCAGGAAUGCUCUCAGGCCUCAGAAAAAUACUGGAACCAGUUACCCGGGAAUGAAAAUGGAAGCAGAAAGCUGAUGCUGUCAACUAUCACCAAAUUCAACAGUGUUGGUUUUUUUGCUUUUUGUUUUUUUUGGCAGCUCACCUUUAUCCAGUCUUUCUAAAACAUUCAAUCCAGUUUUUGGAGAAAUAAAAAUCUCUCUUUUGUCAUUUCAUUGAUGUACAUAUUAUUUAAAUAAAUUACAUAAUUGCAAUAAAAUCUGCAGCAGCAUCAACUGGUUUGGGAGCAAACACAACCGAUUCCCGGCGAGCACACGACUCACCUGGUGGAGGACAGGUGUGCGGGUUAGCUGGAGAAGAGCCUGCUGCUGUGGGCGCCAGUGUACUGGGUGCAAGACCGCGAGUUCUUGUAAAGAAAGGGGAGUUAUGGCCAACCUGGGGGCCGCUUCAAUUUCAGGGAACACUUCUACUAUACAGCAAUUCACUUAACCAGCUUCAUAGGUUGGGCGUCUAAAGGUUUGUGGUUUUUUCCUCACUGUUGAAAGUGAGGCAGCAUUAAAUCCACCCAGAUAAUUCUUUUGGGCACUUUCAUAAUUAUUCCCAGAAUUGCAACUACUGGGUAAAAUUACACACAUUUUAAAGACUUUAAAUACACAUUUCCAAAUUGUUCCCCAGGACGGUUUCCCUGGACUUGAUCUUUUAAAACAGAAUUUAAAAUGUUAAGAGACCUUUUAACAGGGAGUCUAAUUAAGCAACUAAUUUCAUUUUUCUGCAUGAGGCAGGAAUUUAAGUCCGAUUCUUUAUCUUGAAACAAUGACUUCACUCCUUCCAAGACAUGGCAGAAAAACACCUUCCUUUUGUUUUCUGUGACAACAGCAACCAGUUCCCACGGAUGAAAUUUAUUUUUCAUCUAGUGAUUCAACCCAUUUGGUUUCAGGAUGUGGCCAGGCAAAAUGAGCCAAAAAUGCAAGAUUAGGGCAACUUGAUUUUUAGGCUGUGCAUAUAGCUGAGCUUUGGGUUUGGCUGAUACAAACAGUUUCCAUGGUUUGAGAGUUUUUGUUGUAGCAACAAGGCCCUU
rnacentral:lncRNA from 1 species